rnacentral:tRNA from 1 species
CAAAAUAUAGCUUAACCAAAAGCAUUCAGCUUACACCUGAAAAAUGUCCCUUAAGUGAGACUAUUUUGA